rnacentral:rRNA from 1 species
UACAGAGGUGGCGAGCGUUGUUCGGAUUUACUGGGCGUAAAGGGUGCGUAGGUGGUUUUGCAUGUCGGACGUGAAAUCCCACUGCUUAACGGUGGAACUGCGUUCGAAACUGCAAGACUAGAGUUCAGGAGAGGAGAGCGGAAUUCUUGGUGUAGCGGUGGAAUGCGUUGAUAUCAAGAAGAACACCGGUGGCGUAGGCGGCUCUCUGGAAUGUGACUGACACUGAGGCACGAAAGCGCGGGGAG